CAGGAAGCCCGAUAUGCUGACAUGUGUGAGAGGCAUCAUUCACCACAGAAGUAGAAACAGCAUGGAUGGGUGAAAGUUGCAAGAAGAUCUGUUGUUUCUUGGUUCCAACUUUGCUAUCAGCACUGGACCAAGAAUGGAAAACAACUAAUAAACCCUGAAUGUGCAACAAGGACCACAGGAACCAGCCACGGGAGAGUAGACAGUCACCAAGGUCAGGGUCACGUCAGGACAGCCCUGCACGUGUGCGGCCUGAGUGUUCCCACUCUCCGGGUUCACAGUGCAACAGACAGUGCCAGCUCACCACAGCCUUGUUUCCCCCAACUGACCAAGACUGGUCAGAAUGUGUCAGAUUUUGCAUGAAAGACGCAACGUAUUUGCUGUAAAAUUUUAGGAAUUACUAGAAAACAGGGAAGCCCCAAAAGGUAACACAAUCAAGGCAAGGCAAAGGUUGAAGAGAGUACUGAAAAAUCUUUUCAAACUGUUU
rnacentral:lncRNA from 10 species